rnacentral:sRNA from 1 species
AUUUUAAUCAAAUUAAUAUAUUUUAAUUAGUUUAAAGUAAAUGAACCAUUAGUUUAAUGACAACUCUCAAUAAAUGCUGAGAAUCGUCUCUCCUGCCAGAAACGUUUCUCCACUUUUCUCUCCUUCUUCCUUCUCUCCUACUUUUUCUCUUUUUAAUUAUUAUUUAAUUGAUGAGUAUCUCAAUCAGAUAUUCCGAUGGAGAUGGUCUAAGUGUGUGUAUAGAUUGUCAUUCAGUUGGCAAGCUAAAACCUCAGCUGUAUGAUAAUGUUAACAAAAUCACUCUGUUUUGCUUAAUCUCU